rnacentral:rRNA from 1 species
GUGUGCGAAGGGUAGCAUAAUCAUUAGUCUUUUAAUUGAAGGCUUGUAUGAAUGGUUGGACAAAAAGUUAACUGUCUCAAUUAUAAAAAUUGAAUUUAACUUUUAAGUGAAAAGGCUUAAAUAUACUGAGGGGACGAUAAGACCCUAUAAAGCUUUACAAUAAAUUAAUUAAAUUAUAAAUUAUAAGUUUAACUUAAUUUAAUUAGUAUUUGUUUCGUUGGGGCGACGAGAAUAUAAUUAUAUAACUGUUCUUUUAUUGUUAUAACAAAUUUAAUUGGGUGAAAAUUGAUCCUUUUAUAAAGAUUAAAAGAUUAAGUUACUUUAGGGAUAACAGCGUAAUCUUCUUUGAGAGUCCAUAUCGACAAGAAGGGUUGCGACCCCGAUGUGAAAUUAAGGAG